rnacentral:lncRNA from 12 species
AAGAGCCCAGUCCUGUGAGAAGGCAGAGCUGAAGCAGGUGUCUAUGCAGGGUGGUGAGAGAGACAGCAGGGCUCUGUGUCUUUCCUGUUUCCUGUGCCAAGGUGGAAUAUUCUGGAAUGUGUCAGCUUGACUCUGGAACGUCUUCUAAGGUAUGCAGGACUUUCAUGGUCUGAUGUCCAAUUUUAUCAAUUCAUAGGCUUGAAAUUCAAUUGAAACUUAUCUGAGAUCACACAGUCUGUAAGUGGCAGGACAAUCUGCUGCCAGGCAGACAAGGGAUCCCUGCAAGCAACCAGUGUAUUUUGAGGUCCUGCCAAUCAGGAACCACUCUCUCUUGGACCUAGGAUGGACCCUCUUGGCCCAGGAGGUGCCUUCUGUAGAAGCUGCCACUUAU